AGAGUUUGAUCCUGGCUCAGGAUGAACGCUAGCGGCAGGCCUAAUACAUGCAAGUCGAGGGGUAACACAGGUAGCAAUACUGGGUGACGACCGGCGCACGGGUGCGUAACACGUAUAUAAUCUGCCUUUGUCAGGGGGAUAGCCCGGAGAAAUCCGGAUUAAUACCCCAUAAUGUGAUUGAUCGGCAUCGAUUGAUUAUUAAAGUUCCGACGGACAAAGAUGAAUAUGCGACUGAUUAGUUAGUUGGUGAGGUAACGGCUCACCAAGGCGAUGAUCAGUAGGGGUACUGAGAGGUUAAACCCCCACACUGGUACUGAGACACGGACCAGACUCCUACGGGAGGCAGCAGUAAGGAAUAUUGGACAAUGGAGGCAACUCUGAUCCAGCCAUGCCGCGUGCAGGAAGAAGGCGCUAUGCGUUGUAAACUGCUUUUAUAACAGAGAAAACCUAUGUACGUGUACGUAGUGAUAGUAGUAAGAAUAAGCUCCGC
rnacentral:rRNA from 1 species